rnacentral:tRNA from 1 species
GGGCGUGUCGCUCAACGGGUAGAGCAGAGUCCCUUGCUGAUUUUUGCCCGCCUGGCGGGCCGAAGGCGAAGGGUUAUCGUGUUGCAAGUUCGAGUCUUGUCACGUCCU